rnacentral:lncRNA from 1 species
AAUAUAAUAGAAAAACUUGGACUUGGACCUCUCUCAUUUGAGCCCACAAAGCCAUGAAAAUCAGGUUAUAAAAGAGGGAGAUCAGACAGAAAAAGGAAGAGAAGCAAAAUACUCUGAGGUUUCCUUGGAACAAAACCCUUGACAAAACCUGGAGAGAAACCUGACAGAGAACUCAGAGCAACCCCCAGGCAGCUCUGAAAAAUUCAAUCUGACUCACACACUUUCAUCUCACGCAAACCCUAACAUUGCCUUGCAAACCCAGCCGUGCCAUUUGAUUUCAACCGGUCUCUCCCAUCAGGUUUGCCUCAUUCCCAUGAUUUUAUGCUCUUAAUUU